rnacentral:rRNA from 1 species
UACAGAGGAGCCAAGCGUUGUCCGGAUUGACUGGGCGUAAAGCGCACGCAGGCGGUCUGGCGCGUGGGGUGUGAAAUCUGGCCGCUUAACGGCCAGGCGCCAUCCCAUACGGCCGGACUGGAGCCUUGCAGAGGUCGGUGGAAUUGCCGGUGUAGUGGUGAAAUGCGUAGAGAUCCGGAGGAACACCGAAGGCGAAGGCAGUGUCCUGGCGCGUAACUGACGCUGAGGUGCGAAAGCCAGGGGAGCGAACGGG